AACGCUAGCUACAGGCUUAACACAUGCAAGUCGAGGGGCAGCAUGAUUGAAGCUUGCUUCAAUUGAUGGCGACCGGCGCACGGGUGAGUAACACGUAUCCAACCUUCCGUACACUCAGGGAUAGCCUUUCGAAAGAAAGAUUAAUACCUGAUGGUAUCUUAAGCACACAUGUAAUUAAGAUUAAAGAUUUAUCGGUGUACGAUGGGGAUGCGUUCCAUUAGGUAGUAUGCGGGGUAACGGCCCACCUAGCCGGCGAUGGAUAGGGGUUCUGAGAGGAAGGUCCCCCACAUUGGAACUGAGACACGGUCCAAACUCCUACGGGAGGCAGCAGUGAGGAAUAUUGGUCAAUGGGCGAGAGCCUGAACCAGCCAAGUAGCGUGAAGGAUGAAGGUCCUACGGAUUGUAAACUUCUUUUAUACGGGAAUAAAGUUUCCUACGUGUGGGAUUUUGUAUGUACCGUAUGAAUAAGCAUCGGCUAACUCCGUGCCAGCAGCCGCGGUAAUACGGAGGAUGCGAGCGUUAUCCGGAUUUAUUGGGUUUAAAGGGAGCGCAGACGGGAGAUUAAGUCAGUUGUGAAAGUUUGCGGCUCAACCGUAAAAUUGCAGUUGAUACUGGUUUCCUUGAGUGCAGUUGAGGCAGGCGGAAUUCGUGGUGUAGCGGUGAAAUGCUUAGAUAUCACGAAGAACUCCGAUUG
rnacentral:rRNA from 1 species